ACGGGAGGCAGCAGUGAGGAAUAUUGGACAAUGGGUGCGAGCCUGAUCCAGCCAUCCCGCGUGAAGGACGACGGCCCUAUGGGUUGUAAACUUCUUUUGUAUAGGGAUAAACCUACUCUCGUGAGGGUAGCUGAAGGUACUAUACGAAUAAGCACCGGCUAACUCCGUGCCAGCAGCCGCGGUAAUACGGAGGGUGCAAGCGUUAUCCGGAUUUAUUGGGUUUAAAGGGUCCGUAGGCGGAUGUGUAAGUCAGUGGUGAAAUCUCACAGCUUAACUGUGAAACUGCCAUUGAUACUGCAUGUCUUGAGUGUUGUUGAAGUAGCUGGAAUAAGUAGUGUAGCGGUGAAAUGCAUAGAUAUUACUUAGAACACCAAUUGCGAAGGCAGGUUACUAAGCAACAACUGACGCUGAUGGACGAAAGCGUGGGGAGCGAACAGGAUUAGAUACCCUGGUAGUCCACGCCGUAAACGAUGCUAACUCGUUUUUGGGUUUUCGGAUUCAGAGACUAAGCGAAAGUGAUAAGUUAGCCACCUGGGGAGUACGAACGCAAGUUUGAAACUCAAAGGAAUUGACGGGGGCCCGCACAAGCGGUGGAUUAUGUGGUUUAAUUCGAUGAUACGCGAGGAACCUUACCAAGGCUUAAAUGGGAAAUGACAGGUUUAGAAAUAGACUUUUCUUCGGACAUUUUUCAAGGUGCUGCAUGGUUGUCGUCAGCUCGUGCCGUGAGGUGUUAGGUUAAGUCCUGCAACGAGCGCAACCCCUGUCACUAGUUGCCAUCAUUAAGUUGGGGACUCUAGUGAGACUGCCUACGCAAGUAGAGAGGAAGGUGGGGAUGACGUCAAAUCAUCACGGCCCUUACGCCUUGGGCCACACACGUAAUACAAUGGCCGGUACAGAGGGCAGCUACACAGUGAUGUGAUGCAAAUCUCGAAAGCCGGUCUCAGUUCGGAUUGGAGUCUGCAACUCGACUCUAUGAAGCUGGAAUCGCUAGUAAUCGCGCAUCAGCCAUGGCGCGGUGAAUACGUUCCCGGG
rnacentral:rRNA from 1 species